rnacentral:rRNA from 1 species
CCCUUAGAUGUUCUGGGCAGCACGCGCGCUACAAUGGUCUUCGCAAACGGAUGCAUUCUCGAAGGAGAAUGCCAAUCUUGGAAUCUAUGCCUUGGUCGGGACAGUUGCUUGCAAUUUUUCGACUCGAACCAGGAAUUCCUUGUAAUCGUGAUUCAUCACAUCACGAUGAAUACGUCCCUGCCCUUUGUACACACCGCCCGUCGCUCCUACCGAUCGAAGAGUUAGGUGACUUGUUUUGAUCGAUAAGAUUUGACUAUGGUCAACUCUCGUUGUGAAAUUCUGUGAAUCUGACUGUUUAGAGGAAGGAAAAGUCGUAACA